AUUCACUUCGGUGAUGACGUUGGGAACGCGAGCGGCGGAUGGGUGAGUAACACGUGGGGAACCUGCCCCAUAGUCUGGGAUACCACUUGGAAACAGGUGCUAAUACCGGAUAAGAAAGCAGAUCGCAUGAUCAGCUUAUAAAAGGCGGCGUAAGCUGUCGCUAUGGGAUGGCCCCGCGGUGCAUUAGCUAGUUGGUAGGGUAACGGCCUACCAAGGCAAUGAUGCAUAGCCGAGUUGAGAGACUGAUCGGCCACAUUGGGACUGAGACACGGCCCAAACUCCUACGGGAGGCAGCAGUAGGGAAUCUUCCACAAUGGACGAAAGUCUGAUGGAGCAACGCCGCGUGAGUGAAGAAGGUUUUCGGAUCGUAAAGCUCUGUUGUUGGUGAAGAAGGAUAGAGGUAGUAACUGGCCUUUAUUUGACGGUAAUCAACCAGAAAGUCACGGCUAACUACGUGCCAGCAGCCGCGGUAAUACGUAGGUGGCAAGCGUUGUCCGGAUUUAUUGGGCGUAAAGCGAGCGCAGGCGGAAGAAUAAGUCUGAUGUGAAAGCCCUCGGCUUAACCGAGGAACUGCAUCGGAAACUGUUUUUCUUGAGUGCAGAAGAGGAGAGUGGAACUCCAUGUGUAGCGGUGGAAUGCGUAGAUAUAUGGAAGAACACCAGUGGCGAAGGCGGCUCUCUGGUCUGCAACUGACGCUGAGGCUCGAAAGCAU
rnacentral:rRNA from 1 species